GACGAACGCUGGCGGCGUGCCUAAUACAUGCAAGUAGAACGCUGAAGAGAGGAGCUUGCUCUUCUUGGAUGAGUUGCGAACGGGUGAGUAACGCGUAGGUAACCUGCCUGGUAGCGGGGGAUAACUAUUGGAAACGAUAGCUAAUACCGCAUAAAAUUGAUUAUUGCAUGAUAAUUAAUUGAAAGAUGCAACUGCAUCACUACCAGAUGGACCUGCGUUGUAUUAGCUAGUUGGUGAGGUAACGGCUCACCAAGGCGGCGAUACAGAGCCGAGCUGAGAGGGGGAUCGGGCAACAUGGGACUGAGACACGGCCCAGACUCCUACGGGAGGGAGCAGUAGGGGAUCUUAGGCAAUGGGGGGAAACCUGACCGAGCAACGCCGCGUGAGUGAAGAAGGUUUUCGGAUCGUAAAGCUCUGUUGUGAGAGAAGAACGGGUGUGAGGGUGGAAAGUUCACGCUGUGACGGUAUCUUACCAGAAAGGGACGGCUAACUACGUG
rnacentral:rRNA from 1 species